GACGAACGCUGGCGGCGUGCUUAACACAUGCAAGUCGAACGGAAAGGCCCUGCUUUUGUGGGGUGCUCGAGUGGCGAACGGGUGAGUAACACGUGAGUAACCUGCCCUUGACUUUGGGAUAACUUCAGGAAACUGGGGCUAAUACCGGAUAGGAGCUCCUGCUGCAUGGUGGGGGUUGGAAAGUUUCGGCGGUUGGGGAUGGACUCGCGGCUUAUCAGCUUGUUGGUGGGGUAGUGGCUUACCAAGGCUUUGACGGGUAGCCGGCCUGAGAGGGUGACCGGCCACAUUGGGACUGAGAUACGGGCCAGACUCCUACGGGAGGCAGCAGUGGGGAAUAUUGCACAAUGGGCGGAAGCCUGAUGCAGCAACGCCGCGUGCGGGAUGACGGCCUUCGGGUUGAAAACCGCUUUCGCCUGUGACGAAGCGUGAGUGACGGUAAUGGGUAAAGAAGCACCGGCUAACUACGUG
rnacentral:rRNA from 1 species